GUUUCCACGUCUCUGGUCGCACCAUGAAGACUCAGCUCGCUCUCCUGCUGGCUCUCGCCGCCGUUGCUGCGUCGGAUUCUCAACCUUCGUCCUUCUAUGGAGUCCCUCGAGUUAGAACUCAAGCAUCAGAUGAAUCUUCCGAAUCAUCAUCAGAGAGUCGCCACAUCUACCGUAGUCAUGAUAGAUCUGAUGA